UCUGGUGCCAGCAGCCGCGGUAAUUCCAGCUCCAAUAGCGUAUAUUAAAGUUGUUGCAGUUAAAAAGCUCGUAGUUGAAUUUCGGGGUUCCACCGUUGGUCGGGCAAUUGUCUGUACUGGCGUGUGGAAUUUCUACCUUCUGGAGAACCAUCAUGGUAUUAAUUUAGCGGGGGAAGAAACCCGGACCUUUACCUUGAAAAAA
rnacentral:rRNA from 1 species